rnacentral:tRNA from 1 species
GCCUCUGUAGCUCAGUUGGUUAGAGCGCUGCACCGGAAUCGCAGGGCCGUAGGUUCAAUUCCCACCAGAGGAC